ACCUGGCUGGCUCAGUUGGUAGAGUAUGUGACUCUUGAUCUCAUGGUCGUGAGUUUAAGCCCCACAUUGGGCA
rnacentral:tRNA from 1 species